GGAGGGAGCAGUGGAGACAGCAGCAGAGACAGUGGAGGCAGCAGAAGGCAUCACUGGACAGCAGAGAUGUGUGUGAGCCAUCUCCUCAAAAAGUAAUGCGUGUAGAAACCAUCAAGGUGACAAAGAAGCCUAAACUGAAGAGGCAGAAACAUCAAGACCCACAGCCCACGUCCCAGCUCACCAUGAAGUUUUAUUUAGACUUACUUAAGAACGACAAUGCAAGUGUGAGCCGGUCACCUCCAGAAAAAAGGGAGCACAUGGCCAACAAAAUCAGAGACCAACAACUGGGGCCAGAUGGCUUAAAG